AGUCUGACCAGCCAUGCCGCGUGGAGGAUGAAGGCCCUCUGGGUUGUAAACUUCUUUUAUCUGGGACGAAACCCGGAAAUUCUUUUCCGAUUGACGGUACCAGAGGAAUAAGCACCGGCUAACUCCGUGCCAGCAGCCGCGGUAAUACGGAGGGUGCAAGCGUUAUCCGGAUUCACUGGGUUUAAAGGGUGCGUAGGUGGGCAGGUAAGUCCGUGGUGAAAUCUCCAAGCUUAACUUGGAAACUGCCGUGGAUACUAUCUGUCUUGAAUACCGUGGAGGUGAGCGGAAUAUGUCAUGUAGCGGUGAAAUGCUUAGAUAUGACAUAGAACACCAAUUGCGAAGGCAGCUCACUACACGAUUAUUGACACUGAGGCACGAAAGCGUGGGGGAUCAAACAGGAUUAGA
rnacentral:rRNA from 1 species